UGUUGCUACUUAAAUCAUCCCUUCUUCUUCCUCCAUUCUCCAAACUAUCCCCCUUUAACGCCUCACGCCUCAUCCUUUUGUCUCUCACCCUUGCAAUCAGUGUCUCCAUCUCCACUUCAUCUUCAUCUUCCUCUGCUGUCAAACUCGAAGUCAUUUCCUUUCUUUUUUCUCUAUCCUUUUCUGUUAAAUUAAGCACUGUUGCCUUCUCGUUCUCUUCCUUCCCAUUCUCCGCCAUUAUCUCCGAUUCAUCCUGCCUUAACCCUUUACCACCCCUGUUGCUACUUAAGUCCAUUCUUCUUCCUCCAUCCUCCGAACCAUCUCCUUUUAAUGCCUCACGCCUCAUCCUUUUCUCUCUCACCCUUGCAAUCAGCAUCUCCAUCUCCACAUCAUCUUCCUUUUCUAUCAAAUCCAUCUCCUUACUUUUCUCACUUUCUUCCCCCUUAUCUUUUACCGGGAUCUUUCCCUUAUUCACCUUCUUCUUCACUAACAACUGCAUCUCAGCUAAUGUCAUUGUAUCUUCUCCUUCACCUACACUUCUCACCUUACCAUUAAUCUUUGAUCUCAACUCCUUGAUCAAACCAUCGUCGCUCUCAACAUCUCCUUCCAUAUCCACCUCAGUUCCAACACCAAUUGCAUCAUCAUUUCUUGUCGUUUUUCCAUGUGGCCUCUUAUUAACCUCCGUAACACUCCCCACUUUCCUCUUCCUC
rnacentral:lncRNA from 1 species